rnacentral:tRNA from 1 species
GGAUGGGUGGCCGAGUGGUUUUAGGCUCUGGUCUUGAAAACCAGCGUAGGGGCAACUCUACCGUGGGUUCGAAUCCCACCCAUCCGCCA